UUACAGCUAUGUAAUAAAAGUUUACGACUUAGCCAAGGAAUGGAUUGGCUGUGCUAAGUCACAUGGUGUCCUCUCCAUGAUAAUGAACUUUAUAAUAUUGUCUCUGCCCAGAUCAUUCGUUCCCCAUCAAGAUGAACAACACGGAACAUUAGUUUUUUUAGUCUUACAACUUUAACAACGGUAAUCAUUUAGUUGACAGUCGUUUUUACCUCCUAUCCCUGCAUCUGCUCUUCUAAAGUAGCCUAAAUAGUUUUAGUUUUGAUAGAAGUCGAGAGCGUAUUUUGCACUACAGGAAACAGGAAUGGAUCUUCACCAGAUGUGGAUUAACGUUACCUUAUUAUUUGAGAAGCUGCUUGUUAAUAAGCUCUCUCUGUCUGUCUCUCUGUGUCUCUCUCUCUCUCUCUCUCUCUCUCUCUCUCUCUCUCUCUCGAGCUUUUCAGCGGAUCCGUCAAGAGCGUUGCGAGAAAGAAGUGUUGAGCGUCGCAGAUAUGCACAUGUUUUCAGUGAGAAGCCAUGCAAAGCGACAUAUGAAGCGGAUUCACAGCCCUGGCAAUCACUCCAGUCAUAAAUGUGACAGCAGAGGCUCUAGGCAGCCAAUGAGACUUUUCUAUCAUGUCUGCGCUGGAGAAUUGAAGGUGAAUAAGUAGGAGAAAGUAAACAAGAUGAGGGAUAUUAACCUAAUUUAAAAUUAAUUAUUCACCAUCACAAUGUUGGAAAUCACCUUUCAUUUUUUUUUCCUGUGAACCUUGUUACAUUGGAUCAGAGUCGAAGCUCUCUCCUCAGACAGAACGGCUCCUGAGGAACAGUCUGGUGCAUCAACCGAGACCAAGAUGUUAAGAGGUUAUAUGGGAUAUAUUUGUUGUUUAUAGCUUUUCAUUGUUUUUUGGGAUAGGUAUAUGUACUAUGUUGGUGAUUAAUGCUUUUUUUCAAAUACUAACUUAAAGAUCUGAAACGGUUAUGACAGAUGACAGACAUCCAAAAUGUGUACUGUUGGGGAAUGUGUAAGAUCAUAUGUGGUCACUUUUCACAGCUACAAAGUUUUGUGAUAUCUGCAUAAUAAAAUGGAAUCACGAUUUUUAA